rnacentral:rRNA from 1 species
ACCCGCUGAACUUAAGCAUAUCAAUAAGCGGAGGAAAAGAAACCAACAGGGAUUGCCCUAGUAACGGCGAGUGAAGCGGCAACAGCUCAAAUUUGAAAUCUGGCUCUUUUAGAGUCCGAGUUGUAAUUUGCAGAGGGCGCUUUGGCUUUGGCAGCGGUCCAAGUUCCUUGGAACAGGACGUCACAGAGGGUGAGAAUCCCGUACGUGGUCGCUGGCUAUUGCCGUGUAAAGCCCCUUCGACGAGUCGAGUUGUUUGGGAAUGCAGCUCUAAAUGGGAGGUACAUUUCUUCUAAAGCUAAAUAUUGGCCAGAGACCGAUAGCGCACAAGUAGAGUGAUCGAAAGAUGAAAAGCACUUUGGAAAGAGAGUCAAACAGCACGUGAAAUUGUUGAAAGGGAAGCGCUUGCAGUCAGACUUGCUUACAGUUGCUCAUCCGGGCUUUUGCCCGGUGCACUCUUCUGUAGGCAGGCCAGCAUCAGUUUGGGCGGUAGGAUAAAGGUCUCUGUCACGUACCUCUCUUCGGGGAGGCCUUAUAGGGGAGACGACAUACUACCAGCCUGGACUGAGGUCCGCGCAUCUGCUAGGAUGCUGGCGUAAUGGCUGU